UAACGCGUGGGAAUCUGCCCUGGAGUGGGGGAUAACCCGGCGAAAGCCGGGCUAAUACCGCAUACGUCCUGAGGGAGAAAGAUUUAUCGCUCUAGGAGGGGCCCGCGUCGGAUUAGCUAGUUGGUGAGGUAACGGCUCACCAAGGCGACGAUCCGUAGCUGGUCUGAGAGGAUGAUCAGCCCCACUGGGACUGAGACACGGCCCAGACUCCUACGGGAGGCACCAGUGGGGAAUAUUGGCCAAUGGGGGCAACCCUGAUCCAGCAAUGCCGCGUGAGUAUGAAGGCCUUAGGGUUGU
rnacentral:rRNA from 1 species